CAUGAACCAUAUGUGGAUUCAUAACAUGAAUUUCUUUAGCAAGACGACAUCGUUGCCUCAUCACCCAACAACCCUCCUUCGCCGCCUCGUUCCCUUGAAAUUCUUUUUUCUCGUCUCUAGUGGAUCUAGUUAUUGCUAUAGCUAUAACUUGCUUUUCUUUGUUGUAGAGCAUUCUUGUGGACCCUCUACAAAUUCUAAGCUUGUCAAUCAUAUUAAGAGUAUAAUAAAGUUUAGAGGUGGUCCGAUAUUUGUUGCUGAGUACAUAGAGGAAGUGCUGAUAAAUCCCAAGGCUGGUUUAUAACCUCUCUGAAGUAAGCCAAAUGUUUGGAGAGGCAAGCCAAACUGGGUCGAUCUGAUGAUCUAGCUAAGGGCCGAAAUGAGCUGGGAGAGUUUUUCAUAGAACGAAAAAGGUUAUCUUGUUACAAGUGAGACAAAAGUGUUGUUGCUAGG